GUCUACGGUCAUGCCACCCUGAACAUGCCCAAUCUCGUCUGAUCUCGGAAGCUAAGCAGGGUCAGUCCUGGUUAGUACUUGGAUGGGAGACCACCUAGGAAUACCAGGUGCUGUAGGCC
rnacentral:rRNA from 1 species